GGUCCGCUGGCUCAAUGGCAGAGCGUCUGACUACGACUUCACAUGAAGAUAGUAAUCAGGAGGUUCCAGGUUCGACCCCUGGGUGGAUCG